GGUUAAGCGACUAAGCGUACACGGUGGAUGCCCUGGCAGUCAGAGGCGAUGAAGGACGUGCUAAUCUGCGAUAAGCGUCGGUAAGGUGAUAUGAACCGUUAUAACCGGCGAUUUCCGAAUGGGGAAACCCAGUGUGUUUCGACACACUAUCAUUAACUGAAUCCAUAGGUUAAUGAGGCGAACCGGGGGAACUGAAACAUCUAAGUACCCCGAGGAAAAGAAAUCAACCGAGAUUCCCCCAGUAGCGGCGAGCGAACGGGGAGCAGCCCAGAGCCUGAAUCAGUAUGUGUGUUAGUGGAAGCGUCUGGAAAGGCGCGCGAUACAGGGUGACAGCCCCGUACACAAAAAUGCACAUAUUGUGAGCUCGAUGAGUAGGGCGGGACACGUGGUAUCCUGUCUGAAUAUGGGGGGACCAUCCUCCAAGGCUAAAUACUCCUGACUGACCGAUAGUGAACCAGUACCGUGAGGGAAAGGCGAAAAGAACCCCGGCGAGGGGAGUGAAAAAGAACCUGAAACCGUGUACGUACAAGCAGUGGGAGCACGCUUAGGCGUGUGACUGCGUACCUUUUGUAUAAUGGGUCAGCGACUUAUAUUCUGUAGCAAGGUUAACCGAAUAGGGGAGCCGAAGGGAAACCGAGUCUUAACUGGGCGUUAAGUUGCAGGGUAUAGACCCGAAACCCGGUGAUCUAGCCAUGGGCAGGUUGAAGGUUGGGUAACACUAACUGGAGGACCGAACCGACUAAUGUUGAAAAAUUAGCGGAUGACUUGUGGCUGGGGGUGAAAGGCCAAUCAAACCGGGAGAUAGCUGGUUCUCCCCGAAAGCUAUUUAGGUAGCGCCUCGUGAAUUCAUCUCCGGGGGUAGAGCACUGUUUCGGCAAGGGGGUCAUCCCGACUUACCAACCCGAUGCAAACUGCGAAUACCGGAGAAUGUUAUCACGGGAGACACACGGCGGGUGCUAACGUCCGUCGUGAAGAGGGAAACAACCCAGACCGCCAGCUAAGGUCCCAAAGUCAUGGUUAAGUGGGAAACGAUGUGGGAAGGCCCAGACAGCCAGGAUGUUGGCUUAGAAGCAGCCAUCAUUUAAAGAAAGCGUAAUAGCUCACUGGUCGAGUCGGCCUGCGCGGAAGAUGUAACGGGGCUAAACCAUGCNNNNNNNNNNNNNNNNNNNNNNNNNNNNNNNNNGGGUAGGGGAGCGUUCUGUAAGCCUGUGAAGGUGUGCUGUGAGGCAUGCUGGAGGUAUCAGAAGUGCGAAUGCUGACAUAAGUAACGAUAAAGCGGGUGAAAAGCCCGCUCGCCGGAAGACCAAGGGUUCCUGUCCAACGUUAAUCGGGGCAGGGUGAGUCGACCCCUAAGGCGAGGCCGAAAGGCGUAGUCGAUGGGAAACAGGUUAAUAUUCCUGUACUUGGUGUUACUGCGAAGGGGGGACGGAGAAGGCUAUGUUGGCCGGGCGACGGUUGUCCCGGUUUAAGCGUGUAGGCUGGUUUUCCAGGCAAAUCCGGAAAAUCAAGGCUGAGGCGUGAUGACGAGGCACUACGGUGCUGAAGCAACAAAUGCCCUGCUUCCAGGAAAAGCCUCUAAGCAUCAGGUAACAUCAAAUCGUACCCCAAACCGACACAGGUGGUCAGGUAGAGAAUACCAAGGCGCUUGAGAGAACUCGGGUGAAGGAACUAGGCAAAAUGGUGCCGUAACUUCGGGAGAAGGCACGCUGAUAUGUAGGUGAAGUCCCUCGCGGAUGGAGCUGAAAUCAGUCGAAGAUACCAGCUGGCUGCAACUGUUUAUUAAAAACACAGCACUGUGCAAACACGAAAGUGGACGUAUACGGUGUGACGCCUGCCCGGUGCCGGAAGGUUAAUUGAUGGGGUUAGCCGCAACGCGAAGCUCUUGAUCGAAGCCCCGGUAAACGGCGGCCGUAACUAUAACGGUCCUAAGGUAGCGAAAUUCCUUGUCGGGUAAGUUCCGACCUGCACGAAUGGCGUAAUGAUGGCCAGGCUGUCUCCACCCGAGACUCAGUGAAAUUGAACUCGCUGUGAAGAUGCAGUGUACCCGCGGCAAGACGGAAAGACCCCGUGAACCUUUACUAUAGCUUGACACUGAACAUUGAGCCUUGAUGUGUAGGAUAGGUGGGAGGCUUUGAAGUGUGGACGCCAGUCUGCAUGGAGCCGACCUUGAAAUACCACCCUUUAAUGUUUGAUGUUCUAACGUUGACCCGUAAUCCGGGUUGCGGACAGUGUCUGGUGGGUAGUUUGACUGGGGCGGUCUCCUCCUAAAGAGUAACGGAGGAGCACGAAGGUUGGCUAAUCCUGGUCGGACAUCAGGAGGUUAGUGCAAUGGCAUAAGCCAGCUUGACUGCGAGCGUGACGGCGCGAGCAGGUGCGAAAGCAGGUCAUAGUGAUCCGGUGGUUCUGAAUGGAAGGGCCAUCGCUCAACGGAUAAAAGGUACUCCGGGGAUAACAGGCUGAUACCGCCCAAGAGUUCAUAUCGACGGCGGUGUUUGGCACCUCGAUGUCGGCUCAUCACAUCCUGGGGCUGAAGUAGGUCCCAAGGGUAUGGCUGUUCGCCAUUUAAAGUGGUACGCGAGCUGGGUUUAGAACGUCGUGAGACAGUUCGGUCCCUAUCUGCCGUGGGCGCUGGAGAACUGAGGGGGGCUGCUCCUAGUACGAGAGGACCGGAGUGGACGCAUCACUGGUGUUCGGGUUGUCAUGCCAAUGGCACUGCCCGGUAGCUAAAUGCGGAAGAGAUAAGUGCUGAAAGCAUCUAAGCACGAAACUUGCCCCGAGAUGAGUUCUCCCUGACUCCUUGAGAGUCCUGAAGGAACGUUGAAGACGACGACGUUGAUAGGCCGGGUGUGUAAGCGCAGCGAUGCGUUGAGCUAACCGGUACUAAUGAACCGUGAGGCUUAACCUU
rnacentral:rRNA from 1 species